rnacentral:ncRNA from 1 species
AAAAAGACGUUGAUGAGGAAUAGUAGUUGUUGGAUGAUUUUCAGAGAUCUGCUGGUCGGUGUGAAGCAGAAAUUAAAAAAUGACGAACUCACCUCUAAGUUGCUUGCUGAAAUUACGCCGAUAAAAUAAGGUGAAAGAGUAGGUUAAGACGGAAACCCACCGUUACAAGGGAUGGAUAUCGGUUUUAUUAAACCCGUAUUGAAGACAAACCGUAUAAAAUAGAGUGGUAUAGCAGAUUUUCGUCUGUCUCGUUUGAGACAGGCGUUUUUUUAUACAAAAAUAGUUUUCAUGGGAAGAAUAAAGGGUAUCGAGAAAGUGCAUACAGUUAGCCUGUAUGAAUAAGAGUGGUACCGCGGAAAGCUCCCUUUUCGUCUCUGGC